AUGCGGCUGUGCCGGGGCGCAGGGCUGGCGGGGCUGGCCGCGGUGCUCCUGGUAGCAGUGGGCAGAGCCCAGGUGCAGCAGGAGCCGUCGGCAGAGACCACCGAGGGCACCGGCAUCAGCAUCAGCUGCUCACACCCCAACAUACAGUCUUACGACUUCAUCCUCUGGUACCGUCAGCUCCCGGGCCGUGGCCCCGCAUUCCUCGUGAGCGGCACUAAAGGGUCCAAAGAGCUGCGGGACCCUGCGGGGCGGCUGUCGGUGGCGGCAGACCGCCGGUCCAGCGCCCUGUGGCUCGCCCGGCCCCGGCGCGGGGACGCGGCGGUGUAUUACUGCGCCCUGGGAGACACGGGGAGAGGAGCCGGGGCUGCGGCCGGGCAGGAACCGCGGCGGGCGGGGCCGGCUCCAGCGUCCGCUUCCGGUGUGCACCUGCUGGUGUUGGAAAGUCAUCCUGUAGAGCUGGCAGUUCUACCUCGGCACCAGCACGAGAAGGAGAUACUGAUUGUCACAGACACCGUCAAGUGUGUCCCACAGUGGCUAGGGUUCGGGACAUAG